rnacentral:lncRNA from 1 species
GGGACGUAACACAGAAAACACUCUCAAAAUGAUUGGCAGACAGGGUACACGGGAAGGGGCCGAGGGGCGACAGCACCCAGCCUGACACAUUCAUCUGCGGAGCCUACACUUAUCACUCUGAUCCGCAGAGAGGGUAGGGCACUGCCCAAUCUGCCCUUUCCUCACCCGGCAGCCCCCACGCCCAGGCAGGGCCACAGGGUUUCUGCCUCUACCAGGAACCCACUGACUCCUGAUGUCUGAGCACCUGCAUUCUCCCGGGACCCCUCGGGAUGUUGUCCACCCUUCUGUGCUGGGGCAUGAGGGUUGGUGGGGCAGUAGCACCCUGGCCCAUUUCCAGGCCCGCCCUGCCCCCACUGAGUGGGAGAGGACGCAGGAAUCAGGCUUUGUCAACAACCUGUGGCCGGUGAUCUGAUCUCACCCUGGGGCCAUGACCUUCUGCCACUUGCUCUGGUUUCACAAACACCCACCAAGCCCAUUCUCAUCAGAAGCUGGCAGGCCCCAUUCAGAAGCUGGGGUGACCAGUGCCCACCUCGUGGAGCCCAGCCAUUCUGUGGGGGGGGGGGGGGGGGGGCAGGCCUUGGCCAUCAAUCAUGCCUGUCCUGGUCCUGGGAUUUUCGGCCCACUGGGAGCAAGGCCCCCUCCCCCUCCCAGGAGCUGAGCCCACAGGAGAGGCGGUGGCCAGCGGCAGGCUGCACCCAGAUCUCCCGGAGGCCGGGGGAGGGGCACUGGCGCGCCUUAGGACUUCUUGGCGUCCUGCGUGUUCCGGCGCUUCAGGUCGCUCAGGUCGAUGGGCUUGAAGGCUGCCGAGGGACAGAAUGGUCAGUGGUAGGUGCAGGUGGAGAGGCAGGGUCUGUCCCUUGUCCUGCCCUUGCCUCUGAAAGCCCUGGGAUCCAGGCCACUGUACCAGGCUGUCUUGGAAGCAGCCGGUGGGUGGGGACCUUCUCCACGUACUCCUCCACCAGGCCCCGCUCGCUGCCCGACAUCUGGCUGCGCAGGUCCCGCUCCACACCCUGCCAGGCUGCAGGAAGCAGGGGUGGUCAGGGCCCCUACCCCUGGGCCUGCCAUCCGGCCCCGUCAGUGUCCAAGGGGAUGGCACCCGCUCCUGCCCUGUCCCUCCCCUCCGAGUGGCCCCGCAGGUCCCCCGAGCCCAAACUCCCACUUCAACAGUUUCUGGCCCCCAAGUCCAGCCUGCUCCUAACCUGA